rnacentral:rRNA from 1 species
AGAGUUUGAUCCUGGCUCAGAACGAACGCUGGCGGCGUGGAUAAGACAUGCAAGUCGAACGCUGACAUUCAGGUAGCAAUAUUGGAUUGUCGGAGUGGCGCAAGGUUGCGUACAACGUGGGUAAUUUGCCGUAAAGUCUGGAACAACUUGCUGAAAGGCGAGCUAAUACCGGAUGUGAAUUUUGGAAGGCAUCUUCUGAAAUUCAAAGUUGGGGACCGCAAGGCCUGACGCUUUACGAUAAGCCCGCGGCCUAUCAGCUAGUUGGUGAGGUAACGGCUCACCAAGGCUAAGACGGGUAGCUGUUCUGAGAGGACGACCAGCCUCACUGGAACUGAGACACGGUCCAGACACCUACGGGUGGCAGCAGUCGAGAAUUUUCUCAAUGGGCGAAAGCCUGAAGG